AUAAUUAGAAGUAGAAAGUGGCUCUCUACACACUCGAAAGAAUACCUGAGAUGCAGGAUACGCCACCCUGCCUAAUUAU
rnacentral:ncRNA from 1 species